UACGGAGGUCUCAAGCGUUGUUCGGAUUCAUUGGGCGUAAAGGGUGCGUAGGCGGCGCGGUAAGUCGGGUGUGAAAUCUCGGGGCUUAACUCCGAAACUGCAUUCGAUACUGCCGUGCUUGAGGACUGGAGAGGAGACUGGAAUUUACGGUGUAGCGGUGAAAUGCGUAGAUAUCGUAAGGAAGACCAGUGGCGAAGGCGGGUCUCUGGACAGUUCCUGACGCUGAGGCACGAAGGCCAGGGGAGCAAACGGG
rnacentral:rRNA from 1 species